rnacentral:rRNA from 1 species
GAUGAACGCUGGCGGCGUGCCUAAUACAUGCAAGUCGAGCGGACGGACGAGAAGCUUGCUUCUCUGAUGUUAGCGGCGGACGGGUGAGUCACACGUGGAUAACCUACCUAUAAUACUGGGAUAACUUCGGGAAACCGGAGCUAAUACCGGAUAAUAUUUUGAACCGCAUUGUUCAAAAGUGAAAUGCGGUCUUGCUGUCUCUUAUAGAUGGAUCCGCGCUGCAUUAGCUAGUUGGUAAGGUAACGGCUUACCAAGGCAACGAUGCAUAGCCGACCUGCGAGGGGGAUCGGCCACACUGGAAGUGAGACACGGUCCAGACGCCUACGGGAGGCAGCAGUAGGGAAUCGUCCGCAAUGGGCGAAAGCCUGACGGAGCAACGCCGCGUGAGUGAUGAAGGUCUUGGGAUCGUAAAACUCUGUUAUUAGGGAAGAACAUAUGUGUAAGUAACUGUGCACAUCUUGACGGUAACUAAUCAGAAAGCCACGGCUAACUACGUG